rnacentral:rRNA from 1 species
UCUUAGUGGCGGACGGGUGAGUAACGCGUGGGUAACCUGCCUUAUACAGGGGGAUAACACUUAGAAAUAGGUGCUAAUACCGCAUAAGCGCACGGGGCUGCAUGGCCAGUGUGAAAAACUCCGGUGGUAUAAGAUGGACCCGCGUCUGAUUAGCUUGUUGGCGGGGUAACGGGCCCACCAAGGCGACGAUCAGUAGCCGGCCUGAGAGGGUGGACGGCCACAUUGGGACUGAGACACGGCCCAAACUCCUACGGAAGGCAGCAG